CUGCGGGGCCAAAGAUGGGUGAAGUGCAGGCGGUGAGAAAAACAGCUCCUCAGGCCCGGCCACCCUUAGACAGCGCGCUCUUUCUCCAACAGUUCUGCGAUCACUAUUCUUGCCUGGCCCCAGCACCCAACAGAAGUGAGAAGGGGAGACUGGCCAGCCACUGGGCACCCUGUUUAUUUAAUGGUGCUUCACGCUGAUUGGAAAGUUUGACCUUGAUCAGCUCAUGGCAGGAACCACCAAAAAUUGUGCUUUUGCAAGAACACAGUGCCAGCCUUUCUAAGAGAAAAGGAAUAAGGGUCAAAAUGGUUUGGUGUUGUGCUAGAACUGUGAUGGAACUUCAGAGCCAAGUCCGGGGCUGCCAAGGGUGAAGAGUGAUCGCAACAACGGAACUGCUGCCAUUAGGAGGCACCCUCCCGUCUGCAGCUUGCUCUUAGCCCAGUAUAAAAUGGAGAAGGGUCUGCUCUUUCUCACGCUUGCCUCCAAGGAUAGUUAACCCACUGGGUGGAGGGAGGGAGAACCUCAUCUAUGGGAACAUCCACGGAGGCUUUCCUCAAGUUCAAAUUCCCAUAAAAUUUUAAUGGCAAAUGUUCCCGUUAUUAAGUUGGGUCAUAAGUCGUCGUCCUGCUCUUACUGCUGACAGUACCCCUGUCACUGCUACCAAUGGUGAAGGUUUUCAGAUGCCUGACUCAAUAUCUUUGAGCGCAGCUUCGUAGUAGAUUCACGGUCUGUCGAGAACAUGGUGGCGCUUCGGAGAGCGCUCUGAUACGGGAGCGUGCAUGACAAGUGAAAAUGAAAGCUUUCAUUGCUUACAGCGCUCGGCACCACAGAAGUCACUUUUUCAUUGGUACUCUAAAUAUUUAAAAUAAUUAAAUCUAAAUGAUCACUGUAUUUAGUUAAAGUUGUGUAUUCUAACUACAACCUGGUAGGAACUUAGUACCGACUUGCUCUAGGACAUGCUGUACAUGGCUUGCCUCAAAUUGAUUUUUUAAUAAAACUCAUAGAUGUGUUUGAAUCGGCACCCAUUCUUUCAGGUUCCUG